rnacentral:rRNA from 1 species
UACGGAGGGUGCAAACGUUGCUCGGAAUCAUUGGGCGUAAAGCGCACGUAGGCGGUCCAGCAAGUCGGGGGUGAAAGCCCUCGGCUUAACCGAGGAAGUGCAUUCGAAACUACUGGACUUGAGUACUGAAGAGGAUCGCGGAAUUCCCGGUGUAGAGGUGAAAUUCGUAGAUAUCGGGAGGAACACCAGUGGCGAAGGCGGCGAUCUGGGCAGAUACUGACGCUGAGGUGCGAAAGCGUGGGGAGCAAACAGG